CCUAUCUUUGUGCACUGCAAUGUUAUGGUGCAUUUCUCCCCUGCACAGUUAUCACCUAGAUAUUUAACCCACAUCUAUUUUUACAACAUAUUUUUCUUGCUUUUUCAAUCUACUUUUUCUCAUUAGAAUAUGUUUGGGUUAUUUUUGUUCUUCUAAAUUAAAGAGUAUAAGCCACACGAGAAGAACACGAGCAUAUACAAACCGAGUACUCCAAACUCCGAAUAGAACUCCACUCAUUUUAUCAAUUAGGUAGUUAAAUCUAAAAUACCAUGACCACAUUGAUUAGUUACCUCUCGGCCUACCAAUAACUAUAGUCAAUUUUAACAAGUCUUUGUCGAAGCAGUCCAUCCGCCUUUUUUAUGUAGGGAAAGGUGUAAAUUUAUAUAAUUUAUAUAAUAAAGAUAAUUUU